AACGAACGCUGGCGGCAUGCCUAACACAUGCAAGUCGAACGAGACCUUCGGGUCUAGUGGCGCACGGGUGCGUAACGCGUGGGAAUCUGCCCUUUGCUUCGGAAUAACAGUUAGAAAUGACUGCUAAUACCGGAUGAUGUCUUCGGACCAAAGAUUUAUCGGCAAAGGAUGAGCCCGCGUAGGAUUAGGUAGUUGGUGGGGUAAAGGCCUACCAAGCCGACGAUCCUUAGCUGGUCUGAGAGGAUGAUCAGCCACACUGGGACUGAGACACGGCCCAGACUCCUACGUGAGGCAGCAGUGGGGAAUAUUGGACAAUGGGCGCAAGCCUGAUCCAGCAAUGCCGCGUGAGUGAUGAAGGCCUUCGGGUCGGUCGAAAGACUCUUUUACCUAGGGAGUGAUAAUGACAGU
rnacentral:rRNA from 1 species